UAGCCUUAUUAAACCAAUUUGUGUUUGGAAUAAUGUUUAAUGUUAUUUUACAUUUAAUAUCAAUAUCUGUGUCUUCAUUCCAUUAUACAUGUUCUCAACACUCGAAAGGUGAAGAUAUUAAAACCAAAAUACGGGAUUUAAAGACGCAAUAUUGGAAAGAAAUGGGAAAGUUACGAGCGUCGAUGACGAUUGGGCCAAGUACAAGCAAAGUGGUGUCUGUAUUAGAGAGGUGUCUGUAUUAGAGAGGUGUGUGUAUUAGAGAGGUGUUUGUAUUAGAGAGGUGUUUGUAUUAGAGAGGUGUAUGUAUUAGAGAGGUGUGUGUAUUAGAGAGGUGUGUGUAUUAGACAGGUGUCUGUAUUAGAGAGGUGUAUGUAUUAGAGAGGUGUCUGUAUUAGAGAGGUGUAUGUAUUAGAGAGGUGUGUGUAUUAGAGAGGUGUCUGUAUUAGAGAGGUGUCUGUAUUAGAGAGGUGUCUGUAUUAGAGAGGUGUCUGUAUUAGAGAAAUGUUCCUAUUAGAGAGGUGUCUGUUUUGACAAACCUUUCACGCAUAAUGUAUCACACGCAUGACCGAUAUUAUGCAUGCUUGAUUUCUGCAUAAUCUUUGCAAAAAGUAUAACAGAC